rnacentral:lncRNA from 13 species
UGACUUAGUCAUCCCUUGUAUGUAAGCUUUUCCAUACAACCUCAUUGUCUCUCUCUGAACCUUUUCCAGCUCUCCUAUGUCCUCUCUUGAGAUGGGAAGGCCGGAGCAGCAGUCAGUCUCCAACAUGUGAACAAACUGUGGAUUUCUACAACAGACUGCAGAUAGUCUGUGCUUUCUGCUUGGUUCAUCUCCUAGGAAGUCCUAACAUUUUCAACCACUGCAGGCUGCCAUUCUCUGAAGUAAAACUUCCAGAAGAAACAUACGCUAACGGAUCAACUUUGAAAGAAAGCUGAGGGUCUCCUUUAAUGUCUCAGUAGUUUAAGCAGUGUGAAACAGCAGAGACAGCUCUGAUUUCUGGGGUCUUGGCUCCUACUUCUUGCUUCACUCAUUACACUGAUGUUCAGCAGAAGUUAAGAUGCCAGUAAGUAUUUACUGCCUCUCCCAUUAGCAACUCCAAGAAAUCUCUUGGAUUGUCCUUUAGGUCUGUUAAGGUUAUUUCUUUUGUUCCAAUCCCAUCUCUUAUUAUGUAUGAAUAUUUAUACAUAUAUUUAAUCUGUUUUGCUCUCCUGUCUUGCCUUGGGUUAUAUUUUUUUGCUUGGUGCUUUCCAUUUUGAUUGAGGUGGUGACUGGAUUGGCCUCAUCUUCCUCUUGGUUCAAAGAACAAUUCAUUAUUUGGUCAUGUCUGGGGAAUGAAUGCCUCUGUAUGAUAUGUUGGGAGACAGGGAUAAACAUCCCUUCUGGCUGAUUGAUAGUCUUAUUAAAGAUUGCAGUAGGUGAAAGAAUCCCCUGUAGCUUCAUACGGGUACAUUCCCUUUCUCUUUUCCCCUCAGACUGGCUUUAGGGCAUGCUUGGGUCUUGGCUUAUGCUCUGCCCAAUCUUAGAGCAUAACUUAAUUAGCCUUUAUUG